CUCACUUGAAUGCAUCGUGUUAAGGCCUUUUUACAGUCGCUGCAGCCGACCUGUCAUGCGCCAAUGUGACGUCAAAAUGACGUAGAUCUCGCUGGUGCGCCAGGAUUUAAAGUGCGCAACCAGAGGUCGCGCACCACUCU